rnacentral:rRNA from 1 species
UAGGGAAUCUUCGGCAAUGGACGGAAGUCUGACCGAGCAACGCCGCGUGAGUGAAGAAGGUUUUCGGAUCGUAAAGCUCUGUUGUAAGAGAAGAACGAGUGUGAGAGUGGAAAGUUCACACUGUGACGGUAUCUUACCAGAAAGGGACGGCUAACUACGUGCCAGCAGCCGCGGUAAUACGUAGGUCCCGAGCGUUGUCCGGAUUUAUUGGGCGUAAAGCGAGCGCAGGCGGUUAGAUAAGUCUGAAGUUAAAGGCUGUGGCUUAACCAUAGUAGGCUUUGGAAACUGUUUAACUUGAGUGCAAGAGGGGAGAGUGGAAUUCCAUGUGUAGCGGUGAAAUGCGUAGAUAUAUGGAGGAACACCGGUGGCGAAAGCGGCUCUCUGACUUGUAACUGACGCUGAGGCUCGAAAGCGUGGGGAGCAAACAGGAUUAGAUACCCUGGUAGUCCACGCUGUAAACGAUGAGUGCUAGGUGUUAGACCCUUUCCGGGGUUUAGUGCCGUAGCUAACGCAUUAAGCACUCCGCCUGGGGAGUACGACCGCAAGGUUG